GGGUCAGUAGGUUGGUCGUGCCACCGGUACGUACUGGUCUCACUGAUUCCUCCUUCCUGAAGAACCGUAAUGCCAUUAAUUUGGUGUUGCGGGGAAACAGGACUGUUACUUUGAAAAAAUAAGAGUGUUUAAAGCAAGCUAACGCUUGAAUACAUUAGCAUGGAAUAAUGAAAUAGGACGAUCGAUCCUAUUUUGUUGGUUUCUAGGAUUGACGUA
rnacentral:rRNA from 1 species